ensembl:lncRNA
UCCCGCUCGCACAGUCUGAGGCCUCCCCAUACCAGCUUCUAAUAAGGCUUCCAAAAACGAAACCGAGAGAGGCUCCGCCACUUCUGAAAGACAAGAGGAGCCACCAUGGCACUCGCACUUCUGAUCCAAUACCCACUUCCCGCCCAGCGCCUCUUGCGCGCGCCACAAGGGCGCCCAGCCCACCAAGCCGGUCUCGGGCCCCAGAGGAGGCCUCCAGAGAGCCCCUUACCUCCCGCCAGGGCGCUUGAGGCCGGUAGGUGCCCACGGCGCAGGCGCAGGAGCGACGGGGCGGGGCGUCGCGAGGGGUGGGUUGGGAUGUACCCCCCCACUCCGCCCCGCCUCACCCCGCGAGGCCGCCGGGCGGGGUGCGCGGGUCAAACAGCUGACAGCCUAACUGAAGUCCCCGCCACAGCCAGCAUCAACUGCAAAGACACCUCCAGAUGA